rnacentral:rRNA from 1 species
UACGGGGGGGGCAAGCGUUGUUCGGAAUUACUGGGCGUAAAGGGCUCGUAGGCGGCCAACUAAGUCGGACGUGAAAUCCCUCGGCUUAACCGGGGAACUGCGUCCGAUACUGGAUGGCUUGAGUGUGGGAGAGGGAUGCGGAAUUCCAGGUGUAGCGGUGAAAUGCGUAGAUAUCUGGAGGAACACCGGUGGCGAAGGCGGCAUCCUGGACCAUGACUGACGCUGAGGAGCGAAAGCCAGGGGAGCAAACGGG